rnacentral:rRNA from 1 species
AGAGUUUGAUCCUGGCUCAGGACGAACGCUGGCGGCGUGCCUAAUACAUGCAAGUCGAGCGAGCUUGCCUAGAUGAUUUUAGUGCUUGCACUAAAUGAAACUAGAUACAAGCGAGCGGCGGACGGGUGAGUAACACGUGGGUAACCUGCCCAAGAGACUGGGAUAACACCUGGAAACAGAUGCUAAUACCGGAUAACAACACUAGACGCAUGUCUAGAGUUUGAAAGAUGGUUCUGCUAUCACUCUUGGAUGGACCUGCGGUGCAUUAGCUAGUUGGUAAGGUAACGGCUUACCAAGGCAAUGAUGCAUAGCCGAGUUGAGAGACUGAUCGGCCACAUUGGGACUGAGACACGGCCCAAACUCCUACGGGAGGCAGCAGUAGGGAAUCUUCCACAAUGGACGAAAGUCUGAUGGAGCAACGCCGCGUGAGUGAAGAAGGGUUUCGGCUCGUAAAGCUCUGUUGGUAGUGAAGAAAGAUAGAGGUAGUAACUGGCCUUUAUUUGACGGUAAUUACUUAGAAAGUCACGGCUAACUACGUGCCAGCAACCGCGGUAAUACGUAGGUGGCAAGCGUUGUCCGGAUUUAUUGGGCGUAAAGCGAGUGCAGGCGGUUCAAUAAGUCUGAUGUGAAAGCCUUCGGCUCAACCGGAGAAUUGCAUCAGAAACUGUUGAACUUGAGUGCAGAAGAGGAGAGUGGAACUCCAUGUGUAGCGGUGGAAUGCGUAGAUAUAUGGAAGAACACCAGUGGCGAAGGCGGCUCUCUGGUCUGCAACUGACGCUGAGGCUCGAAAGCAUGGGUAGCGAACAGGAUUAGAUACCCUGGUAGUCCAUGCCGUAAACGAUGAGUGCU